UUUCCGUAGGUGAACCUGGGGAAGGAUCAUUAAUGAGUUGUCAUGGGGUUCGAUGCUGGCAGCCAGUUUUUGGAUGCAUGUGCUUGACCAAACAAUCAUCUUCUUCCAAACACCUGUGCAAAUUUUUGAGGGAGUCUUGAGUUUGUUGCCGCUCUUGGGUGAUUUUCUCACAUUCCCUUAAAUCAUUAUACGCUAUUAACAAUGUUGAACGUGCUCUGUGCCGCAAGGCCAUUAAUAUAAUACAACUUUUAACAACGGAUCUCUUGGCUCUC
rnacentral:misc_RNA from 1 species